rnacentral:sRNA from 1 species
UGACUUUCGGGUCACGACGCGAAGGCUUC